CGUCGCCACGGUAAUACGGAGGGUGCAAGCGUUAUCCGGAUUUAUUGGGUUUAAAGGGUCCGUAGGCGGACUUAUAAGUCAGUGGUGAAAGCCUGUCGCUUAACGAUAGAACUGCCAUUGAUACUGUAAGUCUUGAGUAUAUUUGAGGUAGCUGGAAUAAGUAGUGUAGCGGUGAAAUGCAUAGAUAUUACUUAGAACACCAAUUGCGAAGGCAGGUUACCAAGAUAUAACUGACGCUGAGGGACGAAAGCGUGGGUAGCGAACAGGAUUAGAUACCCGAGUAGUCCCUGUCUCUUAUACA
rnacentral:rRNA from 1 species